UUGAACGCUGGCGGCAUGCUUUACACAUGCAAGUCGAACGGCAGCACGGGGGCAACCCUGGUGGCGAGUGGCGAACGGGUGAGUAAUAUAUCGGAACAUAUCCUGUCGUGGGGGAUAACUAAUCGAAAGGUUAGCUAAUACCGCAUACGACCUGAGGGAGAAAGCGGGGGCUCGCAAGACCUCGCGCGAUUGGAGUGGCCGAUAUCUGAUUAGCUAGAUGGUGAGGUAAAGGCUCACCAUGGCGACGAUCAGUAGCUGGUCUGAGAGGAUGAUCAGCCACACUGGGACUGAGACACGGCCCAGACUCCUACGGGAGGCAGCAGUGGGGAAUUUUGGACAAUGGGCGCAAGCCUGAUCCAGCCAUGCCGCGUGAGUGAAGAAGGCCUUCGGGUUGUAAAGCUCUUUCAGACGGAAAGAAAUCGGGCGGGUGAAUAGCCUGCCUGGAUGACGGUACUGUCAGAAGAAGCACCGGCUAACUACGU
rnacentral:rRNA from 1 species